rnacentral:rRNA from 1 species
GACGAACGCUGGCGGCGUGCUUAACACAUGCAAGUCGAACGGAAAGGCCCUGCUUGCAGGGUGCUCGAGUGGCGAACGGGUGAGUAACACGUGGGUGAUCUGCCCCUGACUUUGGGAUAAGCCUGGGAAACUGGGUCUAAUACCGGAUAUGACCAAGGAUUGCAUGGUUCUUGGUGGAAAGCUUUUGCGGUUGGGGAUGGGCCCGCGGCCUAUCAGCUUGUUGGUGGGGUAAUGGCCUACCAAGGUGACGACGGGUAGCCGACCUGAGAGGGUGAUCGGCCACACUGGGACUGAGACACGGCCCAGACUCCUACGGGAGGCAGCAGUGGGGAAUAUUGCACAAUGGGCGCAAGCCUGAUGCAGCGACGCCGCGUGAGGGAUGACGGCCUUCGGGUUGUAAACCUCUUUCAGCAGGGACGAAGCGCAAGUGACGGUACCUGCAGAAGAAGCACCGGCCAACUACGUGCCAGCCGCCGCCGUAACAC